UACGAAGGGGGCUAGCGUUGUUCGGAAUUACUGGGCGUAAAGCGCGUGUAGGCGGGUCUUUAAGUCAGGGGGGAAAUGCCAAGGCUCAACCUUGGAACUGCCUUUGAUACUGGAGACCUUGAGUCCGGGAGAGGUGAGUGGAAUUGCGAGUGUAGAGGUGAAAUUCGUAGAUAUUCGCAAGAACACCAGUGGCGAAGGCGGCUCACUGGCCCGGUACUGACGCUGAGGUGCGAAAGCGUGGGGAGCAAACAGG
rnacentral:rRNA from 1 species